UUUAUGGAGAGUUUGAUCCUGGCUCAGGACGAACGCUGGCGGCGUGCCUAAUACAUGCAAGUCGAGCGGACAAUUGAGAGCUUGCUCUCAAUUGUUAGCGGCGGACGGGUGAGUAACACGUGGGCAACCUGCCCUGUAGACUGGGAUAACUUCGGGAAACCGAAGCUAAUACCGGAUAAUCUUUAGCAUCACAUGGUGCAAAAGUAAAAGUUGGGUUUUACCUAACACUACAGGAUGGGCCCGCGGCGCAUUAGCUAGUUGGUAAGGUAAUGGCUUACCAAGGCGACGAUGCGUAGCCGACCUGAGAGGGUGAUCGGCCACACUGGGACUGAGACACGGCCCAGACUCCUACGGGAGGCAGCAGUAGGGAAUCUUCCGCAAUGGACGAAAGUCUGACGGAGCAACGCCGCGUGAACGAUGAAGGCCUUCGGGUCGUAAAGUUCUGUUGUUAGGGAAGAACAAGUACCGUUCGAAUAGGGCGGUACCUUGACGGUACCUAACCAGAAAGCCACGGCUAACUACGUGCCAGCAGCCGCGGUAAUACGUAGGUGGCAAGCGUUGUCCGGAAUUAUUGGGCGUAAAGCGCGCGCAGGCGGUCUCUUAAGUCUGAUGUGAAAGCCCACGGCUCAACCGUGGAGGGUCAUUGGAAACUGGGAGACUUGAGUGCAGAAGAGGAGAGUGGAAUUCCAUGUGUAGCGGUGAAAUGCGUAGAUAUAUGGAGGAACACCAGUGGCGAAGGCGACUCUCUGGUCUGUAACUGACGCUGAGGCGCGAAAGCGUGGGGAGCAAACAGGAUUAGAUACCCUGGUAGUCCACGCCGUAAACGAUGAGUGCUAGGUGUUAGGGGUUUCGAUGCCCUUAGUGCCGAAGUUAACACAUUAAGCACUCCGCCUGGGGAGUACGACCGCAAGGUUGAAACUCAAAGGAAUUGACGGGGGCCCGCACAAGCAGUGGAGCAUGUGGUUUAAUUCGAAGCAACGCGAAGAACCUUACCAGGUCUUGACAUCCUUUGACAACCCUAGAGAUAGGGCUUUCCCCUUCGGGGGACAAAGUGACAGGUGGUGCAUGGUUGUCGUCAGCUCGUGUCGUGAGAUGUUGGGUUAAGUCCCGCAACGAGCGCAACCCUUGAUCUUAGUUGCCAGCAUUCAGUUGGGCACUCUAAGGUGACUGCCGGUGACAAACCGGAGGAAGGUGGGGAUGACGUCAAAUCAUCAUGCCCCUUAUGACCUGGGCUACACACGUGCUACAAUGGAUGGUACAAAGGGCAGCAAAACCGCGAGGUUGAGCCAAUCCCAUAAAGCCAUUCUCAGUUCGGAUUGUAGGCUGCAACUCGCCUACAUGAAGCCGGAAUUGCUAGUAAUCGCGGAUCAGCAUGCCGCGGUGAAUACGUUCCCGGGCCUUGUACACACCGCCCGUCACACCACGAGAGUUUGUAACACCCGAAGUCGGUGGGGUAACCUUUAUGGAGCCAGCCGCCUAAGGUGGGACAGAUGAUUGGGGUGAAGUCGUAACAAGGUAGCCGUAUCGGAAGGUGCGGCUGGAUCACCUCCUUU
rnacentral:rRNA from 1 species